rnacentral:rRNA from 1 species
CCCUUAGAUGUUCUGGGCCGCACGCGCGCUACACUGACGAAUGCAACGAGCUUAUAACCUUGGCCGAAAGGUCUGGGUAAUCUCCAAAUUUCGUCGUGAUGGGGAUAGAUUAUUGCAAUUAUUAAUCUUCAACGAGGAAUGCCUAGUAAGCGCAAGUCAUCCGCUUGCGUUGAUUACGUCCCCGCCCUUUGUACACACCGCCCGUCGCUCCUACCGAUUGAAUGGUCCGGUGAAGCGCUCGGACCGCGGCCUCUUGACGGUUUUCCGUCGAUUGGCUGUGGGAAGUUCGUUAAACCUUAUCAUUUAGAGGAAGGAGAAGUCGUAACA